GUUGAACGCUGGCGGCAGGCCUAACACAUGCAAGUCGAGCGAGCGGAGGACGGGUGAGUAAUGUAUGGGGAGUGCCCGAUAGAGGGGGAUAACUACUGGAAACGGUGGCUAAUAGCGCAUACUAUGGGAUAACCCCUAUGGGAUUAGCUAGUAGGUGGGGUAAAGGCUGACCUAGGCGACGAUAGAGAGCUGGUCUGAGAGGGUGAUCAGCCACACGGGGACUGAGACACGGCCCAGACUCCUACGGAGGCAGCAGUGGGGAAUAUUGCACAAUGGGCGCAAGCCGGAUGCAGCCACGCUGCGUGUAUGAAGAAGGCCUUAGGUCUGUAAAGUACUGUUAGCUGGGAGGCGUUACCUGCAGAAGAAGCACCGGCUAACUCCGUGCCAGCAGCCGCGGUAAUUG
rnacentral:rRNA from 1 species